rnacentral:rRNA from 1 species
GACGAACGCUGGCGGCGUGCUUAACACAUGCAAGUCGAACGGUGAAGCGCCUUCCUUUUUGGUGGGUGUGGAUGAGUGGCGAACGGGUGAGUAACACGUGAGUAACCUGCCCCCUUCUUCUGGAUAACCGCAUGAAAGUGUGGCUAAUACGGGAUAUUCUGGGUCUGUCGCAUGAUGGGUCUGGGAAAGAUAUUGUUUCGGUGGGGGAUGGGCUCGCGGCCUAUCAGCCUGUUGGUGGGGUGAUGGCCUACCAAGGCGGUGACGGGUAGCCGGCCUGAGAGGGUGGACGGUCACACUGGGACUGAGACACGGCCCAGACUCCUACGGGAGGCAGCAGUGGGGAAUAUUGCACAAUGGGCGCAAGCCUGAUGCAGCGACGCCGCGUGAGGGAUGGAGGCCUUCGGGUUGUGAACCUCUUUCGCCAGUGAAGCAGGCCUGCCUCGUUUGUGGGUGGGUUGACGGUAGCUGGAUAAGAAGCGCCGGCUAACUACGUG